GAAAUAAAUUUAUUGUGCCUGCUUCAGCGACUUGUGCUUGUUGCUUGCCUGAAGUUGGGCUUCUCACUCUUCUCAGUGCGGUGCGAGACGUAAAACAGGUUAGGCUCCUCGUAGAUGGAUGGUUAAAAUUGUACUUGUGUAGACGCUUUUCUAUUUAUUUUAAAUGGAUCAUAAAACGGCGCUGAUUCUAAUAAUAUGUAUUGGCUUCCCUCAAUGGACCAUUCAACAAUCAAGGGUUGACAGGAGUAACGGUAAAUACAGUGGCGGUGUCCCAACAAUCAAAGAACCGAGCAACUGGAAAACGAUACUUGUUAUUGUAGUGGGCGUUUUAGUUUUUGGUGCUGUCAUCUACGGAACCAGUUGUUUUUAUGUGUGUAAAAUGCACUUUUUUGAAAGGACAGAAAAGAAAUAUACUAAAAUGGAUUCAUGUUCAAGUGUGUAACUAACUUCCUGUUACUAUUUAUUAGACAUAGAUAUGUAGAUGUUAGGAUAUCCAGUUUUGUCCCCAAAACAGGAAUCGGAGCUGAUGAAGGCGGGAUGAAACUGCAACGGUUAGCCACUGCCAGAAGUUCUCUAGUUAUUUUCAUAUAAUUUGUCAUUAGGUUAUGAUCAGAGACAUAUUAUAGUAAAAUUCAAACUGCAUAGAUGUAGAUAUAGUAGUAUAUUUUCCUAAAGAAAAGGUUAUUUCUAUGAAAUGAAAUAAAAAUCCAUAAAUCCUGUGGAA